UAACUUGAAGUUCAUUUCGCUUAGCAUCAUCUUACAUGUUCAUAUGGGCAUUGCUAUUGAGCUGUUGUGAUCUUCUGCUAUGUAUAUCCUGGAUAUGUACUACUUAUUCCUUAUGAGGGAAACGAUAGGAUUUAUGUUUCUUUGGGUCUGGGUCACUUCAUUUAGUUUUUUCCAAGUUCUUCCAUUUCUUUAAGAAUGGGACAGUAUCAUUCUUUGUAAUAGAGGCAUAGCAUUCCAUGGUGUAUAUGUACCACAUUUUUUGGAUCCACACACCAGCUGAGGAGCAUCUGGGUUGGUUCCAUGUUUUAGCAAUGACAAAUUGUGUUGGGAUGAAAAUAGC